rnacentral:rRNA from 1 species
GACAGAGGGUGCAAACGUUGUUCGGAAUUACUGGGCGUAAAGCGCGUGUAGGCGGCCAUGCAAAGUCGGAUGUGAAAGCCCUCGGCUCAACCGGGGAAGUGCACCCGAAACUGCAAGGCUAGAGUCUCGGAGAGGAUCGUGGAAUUCUCGGUGUAGAGGUGAAAUUCGUAGAUAUCGAGAGGAAACACCGGUGGCGAAGGCGGC